rnacentral:tRNA from 1 species
UAUAUUAGGGUGUCUUAAGCAUAAGAGAUUUUGAAUCUUUUGGAAAUAAUUUUUUAUUUAAUAUAA